UACGUAGGGGGCAAGCGUUGUCCGGAAUCAUUGGGCGUAAAGAGCGUGUAGGCGGCCCGGUAAGUCCGCUGUGAAAGUCCAGGGCUCAACCCUGGAAUGCCGGUGGAAACUGUCGGGCUAGAGUCCGGAAGAGGCGAGUGGAAUUCCUGGUGUAGCGGUGAAAUGCGCAGAUAUCAGGAAGAACACCUAUGGCGAAGGCAGCUCUCUGGGACGGUACUGACGCUGAGACGCGAAAGCGUGGGGAGCGAACAGG
rnacentral:rRNA from 1 species